rnacentral:rRNA from 1 species
UCUGCUGUGAAAGCCCGGGGCUUAACCCCGGGUGUGCAGUGGGUACGGGCAGACUAGAGUGCAGUAGGGGAGACUGGAAUUCCUGGUGUAGCGGUGAAAUGCGCAGAUAUCAGGAGGAACACCGAUGGCGAAGGCAGGUCUCUGGGCUGUUACUGACGCUGAGGAGCGAAAGCAUGGGGAGCGAACAGGAUUAGAUACCCUGGUAGUCCAUGCCGUAAACGUUGGGCACUAGGUGUGGGGGACCAUUCCACGUUUUCCGCGCCGUAGCUAACGCAUUAAGGUGCCCCGCCUGGGGAGUACGGCCGCAAGGCUUAUAACUCAAAGGAAUUGACGGGGGCCCGCACAAGCGGCGGAGCAUGCGGACUAAUUCGAUGCAACGCGAAGAACCUUACCAAGGCUUGACAUGGACCGGACCGCUGCAGAGAUGCGGCUUCCCUUCGGGGCUGGUUCACAGGUGGUGCAUGGUUGUCGUCAGCUCGUGUCGUGAGAUGUUGGGUUAAGUCCCGCAACGAGCGCGACCCUUGUCCUAUGUUGCCAGCACGUAAAGGUGGGGACUCAUGGGAGACUGCCGGGGUCAACUCGGAGGAAGGUGGGGAUGACGUCAAAUCAUCAUGCCCCUUAUGUCUUGGGCUUCACGCAUGCUACAAUGGCCGGUACAGUGGGUUGCGAUACUGCGAGGUGGAGCUAAUCCCUAAAAGCCGGUCUCAGUUCGGAUC